rnacentral:lncRNA from 1 species
UGCGGUCUUUCGGCAACCGAUUUAUGUCGUUUCGGAGGUGGUGGAGUGUCAGUAUCGAUCGAUCUUUUUUUUUGAAGCUGGGACCGAUGAAGAAGUUGGGAGUGACUGUAUAUGAAAAUGGAUAAAAGAAAUAAGUAUUAAUCAUAUUAAGAAAAGAAAGUCAAAAUAAAGAUAAAGUUCAUUACAGAAGAAGAAGGCGGGACAUCAGAGUUAUGAUCAGAAGUCUUCUCUGAUUCUUCUUUUGGUGGAGAUGGGGCAGGGGUAUCAGUCGAAACAAAUGGAUGAAUAGUUUUAUGGAAUGCCCGAGGCAGAGAAAGGUAAAAAAUACGAUCAGUAAACUGAU